CCCAGGCUGUCGCGCGAGCUCCCCGGAAGCUCCCACCUGAGCGGCGCAUCCUCAGGGCCUGGGCCUGGCCUCCUUGCCUGUGAGAUGGCACUGUGACGGUGCCCACCUCGUGGGGUGUGUGAGGGCCGAGUGAAAUCGUGCAUUUGCGGAAAUGCCCAUGACCUUCAUCGCAGCAGCGUAUGUGCGUUGGUCUUCUCCAGGGAUGCCGAAAGUAGACAUACAGGGAGUCGCAGUACGGAUACCACCAGUGCCAGCCUGACCUCACAAGAGACGUCUUGUGUGACUGGCCCUGCCGUCACAGCUGGGCCAGUAAAGUACCUUCCAGGAGGCUCCAGUUGCUACCUGACUCACAACCUUCUAAUCCCAUGAUCUUUUAGUUCUAGUUUCCUUAUCUUGGUCUGAGCAAAUGGCUCAUUUUAAAGAUGACUUGCAGACAAAUGUAGAGAUCAUCCCAGGGGAAAGUGCCCCAAGAAAGGAGAGUCCAAGACCACCUGCCCCUCCCAGUUCUGCGGCUGGAGUGGGUGGGUGCAGCAACCACAGCCCCAGUGUACAGGAGUCACCACUGUCUCCUCCCGCAUUGGCCCAGCUUGGAAGUGCACAGCAACCAAGCAUGAGGACUGAGUUAAGCUUUUCGGAGAAAAAAGACACUAUGAUCAUCUGGCAGAUCACGAUCACUGUUUGGUGCCAGAGGUAAGGAGUUUGCUUGUUGUGUUUGCUUGGAGGCGACAGUUGGCAAUGACAGCCUGGGAGAAGCACCGGCAGUUAACAGCACUCUGCACCACUCAUGGCUGAGACUGAGGGGAGCCUUUUACAGCAGCUCUGAAAGCAGGAGGUGUUCUCAGACUUGACCCUGAAGUAAACACAUCUCUUUCACCUUUUUCUUAAGUGCUUGCUGGCACAUAACCACUUGCUGAAAUUGUGUCAUUGAUGCUAAAUUAGGAACACAUUAUAUGGAAGGAAGGGAACCACUUCUCAGCACACAUGCCCAGGCAGACUGUGUGGGAUAGAUUUCUGCUUCUCAGAUAAGCCCUGGGCUAGAGACACUUGAGAUGUGGUGGUGAUCUCUGGAGGGAAAGCAGGAAGGCUUCAGGUCUCUUUUAGACUGAAAGAGAAGGGCCUCAUCUGCAGUUUAGUAUACUCUGAGGGUCUGGAAAUCCUUUAGGCGAGGUGCUCUUCCAUCAAAAAGCCAGAUGCUAAGGCAGCAGGUGGAGUUACAGCCCUAUCACCCCAGGCAGCAGCCAGAAAAAAUGGGUCAGGUAAACUCACCUACUCCAACUAAAAGAGCACGGGCAGAAUGCUUCCUCUUAGCCAGUGGUUUCCAAACUUGAAUGUAAAUCAAAAUCACCUGAGGGCUUAUUAAGCCACAUUGCUGAUGCAUUUCUGACUCAGUGGGUCUGGGCCCGCCUUCCUAGCAAGCAACCAGGUGAUGCUGAUAAACUGCUGGUCAGGGACUCAUGUUGAAAACCACAGCUCCAGAUCACAUAGACAUCUGUACCAAAGAAGCGACGAGGGCACAGACAAAUUCCAUUAUAAUAGCCAUCUUUAUUUGUAAAAAUCCAGAUAUAAAAUGUAUUCUUUCAGUCUUUCCGGGUGUUCCUUUUUUACAAAAACAAAAAGGCACAUAAAAACCUUCCCCGCUGUCAUUUCCACAGAUGGAUGGUUUUCAGGACGUCUUGCUUCCCCACAUGCUGCGGUGCUUUCCUACCAGGGUAGAGUUCCAAACUCCAAGACUGAAGUACACAAAGAGGGGGUGGGUGUCGGAUGCAGAGUGUGUGGCCUGAUGCUCCACGGCGUGCAGGACGGGGGGCUAAUAGUAGGUUUCCUUCUCCACCCAGCCUGUGGGUGGCAAAGAGACAGACAAGACACACUACAGUGAGUCUUCCUCGCUCCAGCAUUACAGAGGGAAACAGGGAUGAAAACCAACCGGAGGAUGAUGGGGGUCGGGUGUGUUAAAAUCCAAACAUGGGACCUCAACUGUACUUAUUUACAUGUUUUUAGGAAUACCAAGUUACCUGGAAAGAUGGUUUAGAUUCUGACAAGUUUUCACUAAAUCAUACUUGGUUUGUAUUUUAAAGUCUAAAACAUGACCAGUCCUCAAACUGUAACUGAGAUCUACAUUCUGAAGAUGUGACUAUGGUCAGUUUGCUGGUCCAGUCACCUUAGCUAAUCAGACUGACCACUGAGGGAGCCUAGACACCUUGAGGGAAACAAAAAACCAAUAGAACUAUAGCCCCUCCCACUCCUCCUCCAACCAAAGUCAGAAUGCCCAUAAUUACCG
rnacentral:lncRNA from 1 species